rnacentral:tRNA from 1 species
UGUAGCUCAGUGGUACAGCAUCUGCCUAGCAUGCAUGAGGCCCUGGGUUCAAUCUCCAGCA